GAGGGUUUAGCUCAAUUGGUAGAGCACAUGCUUAGCAUGCACGAAGCCUUGGGUUCAAUCCCCAGCACCUCCA
rfam:Camelus ferus unplaced genomic scaffold scaffold622, whole genome shotgun sequence.